CCCUUAGAUGUCCUGGGCCGCACGCGCGUUACACUGAUGCAUUCAACGAGCUUAUAACCUUGGCCGAGAGGCCUGGGCAAUCUUGUUAACGUGCAUCGUGAUAGGGAUAGAUUAUUGAAAUUAUUAAUCUUGAACGAGGAAUUCCUAGUAAACGCAGAUCAUCAAUCUGCAUUAAUUACGUCCCUGCCCUUUGUACACACCGCCCGUCGCUCCUACCGAUUGAAUGAUCCGAUGAAUAUCAUGGAUUGAGGAUGCAAGUAGGUUCGCCUAUCUUCAUCUUCGAGAAGUGAAGUAAAUCUUAUCAUUUAGAGGAAGGAGAAGUCGUAACA
rnacentral:rRNA from 1 species